AGAGUUUGAUCCUGGCUCAGAGCGAACGUUAGCGGCGCGCUUAACACAUGCAAGUCGCACGAGAGAGGGCCUCGGCCCCGGUACAGUGGCGCACGGGUGAGUAACACGUGGAUGAUGUGCCGUUCUAUGGGGAAUAACCUUCCGAAAGGAGGGCUAAUUCCGCAUCCGACCGUAUCGUGGGAACGAUACGGUGAAAGCAGGCCUCUGUAUACACGCUUGCGUAGAACGAACAGUCCGCGUCCCAUCAGCUAGUUGGUGAGGUAAUGGCUCACCAAGGCUAAGACGGGUAGCUGGUCUGAGAGGAUGGCCAGCCACACUGGAACUGAGACACGGUCCAGACUCCUACGGGAGGCAGCAGUGGGGAAUCUUGCGCAAUGGGGGAAACCCUGACGCAGCGACGCCGCGUGGACGACGAAGGCCUUCGGGUUGUAAAGUCCUGUGGGGUGAGACGAAAGACAGUGGUUCGAAUAGGGCCAUUGGUUGACGGUAUCACCUUAGCAAGCACCGGCUAACUCUGUGCCAGCAGCCGCGGUAAGACAGAGGGUGCAAACGUUGCUCGGAAUUACUGGGCGUAAAGCGCGUGUAGGCGGUUUCUUAAGUCAGGUGUGAAAGCCCGGGGCUCAACCCCGGAAGUGCACAUGAUACUGGGAAGCUUGAGUACUGAAGAGGAGAGCGGAAUUCUCGGUGUAGAGGUGAAAUUCGUAGAUAUCGGGAGGAACACCAGUGGCGAAGGCGGCUCUCUGGGCAGAUACUGACGCUGAGACGCGAAAGCAUGGGGAGCAAACAGGAUUAGAUACCCUGGUAGUCCAUGCUGUAAACGAUGAGUGCUGGGUGUCGCGGGUAUUGACCCCCGCGGUGCCGAAGUCAACACGUUAAGCACUCCGCCUGGGAAGUACGGCCGCAAGGCUAAAACUCAAAGGAAUUGACGGGGGCCCGCACAAGCGGUGGAGCAUGUGGUUUAAUUCGACCCACGCGCAGGACCUUACCCGGGCUCGAAAGUGCUGGAACUCUGCCGAAAGGUGGGGGUGCUCGCAAGAGAACCAGUAUCCAGGUGCUGCAUGGCUGUCGUCAGCUCGUGUCGUGAGAUGUUGGGUUAAGUCCCGCAACGAGCGCAACCCCUGCUACUAGUUGCUACAUUAAGUUGAGCACUCUAGUGGGACUGCCGGUGUUAAGCCGGAGGAAGGUGGGGAUGACGUCAAGUCCUCAUGGCCCUUAUGUCCGGGGCUACACACGUGCUACAAUGGUCGGUACAGAUCGUCGCGAACACGCAAGUGGGAGCAAAUCGCAAAAAAACCGGCCUCAGUACAGAUAGGAGUCUGCAACUCGACUCCUUGAAGUUGGAAUCGCUAGUAAUCGCUGAUCAGCAAGCAGCGGUGAAUACGUUCCCGGGCCUUGUACACACCGCCCGUCACACCAUGGGAGCGGGUUGCUCCAGAAGUCGCUAAGCCAACCGCAAGGAGGCAGGUGCCCAAGGAGUGGCUCGUGACUGGGGUGAAGUCGAAACAAGGUA
rnacentral:rRNA from 1 species